AUACGGAGGAUCCGAGCGUUAUCCGGAUUUAUUGGGUUUAAAGGGUGCGCAGGCGGGAGAUUAAGUCGGCGGUGAAAUUUUGCAGCUCAACUGUAAAAGUGCCUUCGAAACUGGUUUCCUUGAGUGUAGAUGAAGUAGGCGGAAUUUGUGGUGUAGCGGUGAAAUGCAUAGAUAUCACGAGGAACUCCGAUUGCGCAGGCAGCUUACUAAACUACUAUUGACGCUCAGGCACGAAGGCGUGGGGAUCAAACAGGAUUAGAUACCCUGGUAGUCCACGCAGUAAACGAUGAUUACUAGCUGUUUGCGAUACAAUGUAAGCGGCUGAGCGAAAGCGUUAAGUAAUCCACCUGGGGAGUACGUUCGCAAGAAUGAAACUCAAAGGAAUUGACGGGG
rnacentral:rRNA from 1 species